rnacentral:rRNA from 1 species
UACGUAGGGUGCGAGCGUUAAUCGGAAUUACUGGGCGUAAAGCGUGCGCAGGCGGUUAUGUAAGACAGUUGUGAAAUCCCCGGGCUCAACCUGGGAACUGCAUCUGUGACUGCAUAGCUAGAGUACGGUAGAGGGGGAUGGAAUUCCGCGUGUAGCAGUGAAAUGCGUAGAUAUGCGGAGGAACACCGAUGGCGAAGGCAAUCCCCUGGACCUGUACUGACGCUCAUGCACGAAAAGCGUGGGGGAGCAAACAGG